GCACAUUUAGCUCAGUUGGUUAGAGCAUGGUGCUGAUAACGCCAAGGUUGCAGGUUCCAUCUCCCUAUCGGACAGCUACA